rnacentral:misc_RNA from 1 species
GAUGAAGAACGCAGUGAAAUGCGAUAAGUAAUGUGAAUUGCAGAAUUCAGUGAAUCAUCGAAUCUUUGAACGCACAUUGCGCCCGUCAGUAUUCUGGCGGGCAUGCCUGUUCGAGCGUCAUUACGCCCCUCAAGUCGCCUGUGGACUUGGUGUUGGGGAUCGGCGAGGCUGGUUUUCCAGCACAGCCGUCCCUUAAAUUAAUUGGCGGUCUCGCCGUGGCCCUCCUCUGCGCAGUAGUAAAACACUCGCAACAGGAGCCCGGCGCGGUCCACUGCCGUAAAACCCCCCAACUUUUUAUAGUUGACCUCGAAUCAGGUAGGACUACCCGCUGAACUUAAGCAUAUCAAUAAGCGGAGGA